rnacentral:sRNA from 17 species
CUGUCAUGUGUCACCUCUCUGUCAGGUGGUAUGUGGAAAUGCGGGCCGGUGCACCAUCACCGGCCCGUGUGCUU